GACGAACGCUGGCGGCGUGCUUAACACAUGCAAGUCGAGCGGUAAGGCCCUUUCGGGGGUACGACGAGCGGCGAACGGGUGAGUAACACGUGGGUGACCUGCCCUCAGCUCUGGGAGUAAGCCUGGGAAACCGGGUCUAAUACUGGAUAUGACUCCAUGACGCAUGUUGUGGGGUGGAAAGCCUUGUGCGGCUGAGGAUGGGCCCGCGGCCUAUCAGCUUGUUGGUGGGGUGAGGCCUACCAAGGCGACGACGGGUAGCCGGCCUGAGAGGGCGACCGGCCACACUGGGACUGAGACACGGCCCAGACUCCUACGGGAGGCAGCAGUGGGGAAUCUUGCGCAAUGGGCGAAAGCCUGACGCAGCGACGCCGCGUGAGGGA
rnacentral:rRNA from 1 species